rnacentral:rRNA from 1 species
CUGCACUGCAACUCGACUCCAUGAAGUCGGAAUCGCUAGUAAUCGUGGAUCAGAAUGCCACGGUGAAUACGUUCCCGGGCCUUGUACACACCGCCCGUCACACCAUGGGAGUGGGUUGCAAAAGAAGUAGGUAGCUUAACCUUCGGGAGGGCGCUUACCACUUUGUGAUUCAUGACUGGGGUGAAGUCGUAACAAGGUAACCGUAGGGGAACCUGCGGUUGGAUCACCUCCUUA